CCUACGCUCGUUAUUCACCCGACUCUAAAAGANGGGAGAGCAGCANAACUGGGCCCCGCCUCCGANUGUGGCGGACCCUUUUUUAAAAGUCUCCUGAAGACGGNUUUNUUUAGAAAGGUUUUUUUUGGGCCGUCCCAUUUUGUAANUNGUAGANGAGGNUUUNGGCGAGGNGCANUANGAGUUGCCUGGGAACGGACCCCAUGAAGGGGGAAAAACCCGUUUGGGNGGGGGCCCCCCCUGACCAAAACCUCCUUCAUCAAGUUAAUUAAUUUUUUUAUUUCUAAUCUCCUGGGAAGUAUUUUUCAUCUAAAGCUAAAUACUGGCCAGAGACCGAUCGCGCACAAAUAGAGUGAUCGAAAGAUGAAAAGCACUUUGAAAAAGAGGGUUAAAAAAAAAUUGAUAUUAUUGAAGGGAAGGGGACUGUAACCACGCUGGGGGGCGGCGAAGGGUCCCUCGCUCUUGUGCUCUUACUUUGUCGGGUACGGCCUGGCAUCAUUUUUUUGGGAGGGGGAUAAGCCAGGCUGUAGGAAUGUGCCUCCCUUCGAGUGUGGACCUCCUUUGACAAUUCCCUGUGUCGGACGGACGCCCGUAUUUUACUAAGGAGGCUUNUGGUUGUAUUCCAACCGCCCCUCCUNCCUUGAUCAGACACAGUAGGGGCUUCUUUACGUGUGUGUUGGGGUUGUCCCCCCCUACCCGUAAAGGAGUUCAAAGCGAGGGGUGGCUCCCCCCUCUCCUGAUCCGACCCUUAUGUUCUCGUAUUGAUUAUGGGUAAGACCACGCAGCGCCAGAUAUAAGNUAAAGUGCUCUCCGAUNAAAGAGCAGUCUGAGAGAGAACAUAGGAGAGGCUCUGCUCGCACUUACCCGAAAUACUCNUAUUCUACUCUCNAGUNUGGGUGCAUAAGCUCCAACACAAANUCCACUUNUCGCUAUCUCGCUUCCUCAGCCGCAANU
rnacentral:rRNA from 1 species